rnacentral:rRNA from 1 species
ACGUCAAGUCCUCAUGGCCCUUAUGGGCUGGGCUACACACGUGCUACAAUGGCGGUGACAGCGGGAGGCCAGGCCGCGAGGCCGAGCAGAUCCCGAAAAGCCGUCUCAGUUCGGAUCGCAUCCUGCAACUCGGAUGCGUGAAGGUGGAAUCGCUAGUAAUCGCGGAUCAGCACGCCGCGGUGAAUACGUUCCCGGGCCUU